rnacentral:rRNA from 1 species
AGUGAACGCUGGCGGUAGGCCUAACACAUGCAAGUCGAACGGCAGCACAGUAAGAGCUUGCUCUUACGGGUGGCGAGUGGCGGACGGGUGAGGAAUACAUCGGAAUCUACUUUUUCGUGGGGGAUAACGUAGGGAAACUUACGCUAAUACCGCAUACGACCUACGGGUGAAAGCAGGGGAUCUUCGGACCUUGCGCGAUUGAAUGAGCCGAUGCCGGAUUAGCUAGUUGGCGGGGUAAAGGCCCACCAAGGCGACGAUCCGUAGCUGGUCUGAGAGGAUGAUUAGCCACACUGGAACUGAGACACGGUCCAGACUCCUACGGGAGGCAGCAGUGGGGAAUAUUGGACAAUGGGCGCAAGCCUGAUCCAGCCAUACCGCGUGGGUGAAGAAGGCCUUCGGGUUGUAAAGCCCUUUUGUUGGGAAAGAAAAGCAGCAGGUUAAUACCCCGCUGUUCUGACGGUACCCAAAGAAUAAGCACCGGCUAACUUCGUG